rnacentral:rRNA from 1 species
AGCAGCCGCGGUAAUUCCAGCUCCAAUAGCGUAUAUUAAAGUUGUUGCAGUUAAAAAGCUCGUAGUUGAAUUUCGGGGUUCUACCGUUGGUCAGGCUAUUGUCUGUACUGGCGUGUAGAAUUUCUACCUUCUGGGGAACUAUCAUGUUAUUAAUUUAGCGUGGUAGAAAACCAAGACCUUUACCUUGAAAAAAUUAGAGUGUUCAAAGCAGGCUUAUGUCUGAAUACAUUAGCAUGGAAUAAUAAAAUAGGACGGUGGUCCUGUUUUGUUGGUUUCUGAAUCACCGUAAUGAUUAAUAGGGAUAGUUGGGGGCAUUAGCAUUCAAUUGUCAGAGGUGAAAUUCUUGGAUUUAUUGAAGACUAACUACUGCGAAAGCAUUUGCCAAGGAUGUUUUCAUUAAUCAAGAACGAAAGUUAGGGGAUCGAAGACGAUCAGAUACCGUCGUAGUCUUAACCAUAAACUAUGCCGACUAGGGAUCGGACGAUGUUAACUUUUCUUGACUCGUUCGGCGCCUUACG